UACGUAGGUGGCAAGCGUUGUCCGGAUUUAUUGGGCUUAAAGGGUGCGUAGGCGGCCUAUUAAGUCAGUGCUGAAAUAUCCCGGCUUAACCGGGAGGGUGGCAUUGAUACUGAUGGGCUUGAGUAGAGUUGAGGUUGGCGGAAUUGACGGUGUAGCGGUGAAAUGCUUAGAUAUCGUCAAGAACACCUAUGGCGAAGGCAGCUAACUAAGCUGAAACUGACGCUGAGGCACGAAAGUGUGGGGAUCAAACAGG
rnacentral:rRNA from 1 species